rnacentral:rRNA from 1 species
CAGUAGCCGCGGUAAUGCGUAGGUCCCGAGCGUUGUCCGGAUUUAUUGGGCGUAAAGCGAGCGCAGGCGGUUAGAUAAGUCUGAAGUUAAAGGCUGUGGCUUAACCAUAGUACGCUUUGGAAACUGUUUAACUUGAGUGCAAGAGGGGAGAGUGGAAUUCCAUGUGUAGCGGUGAAAUGCGUAGAUAUGUGGGGGAACACCGGUGGCGAAAGCGGCUCUCUGGCUUGUAACUGACGCUGAGGCUCGAAAGCGUGGGGAGCGAACAGGAUUAGAUACCCCUGUAGUCCCUGUCUCUUAUACA